GUGGACCAGCAGUUUGAGCAGUACUUCCGCGACGAGAGCGGCCUCAACCGAAAGAACAUCCAAGACAACCGAGUGCACUGCUGCCUGUACUUCAUCUCCCCCUUCGGGCAUGGGCUGCGGCCAGUGGAUGUGGGUUUCAUGAAGGCGUUGCAUGAGAAGGUCAACAUCGUGCCUCUCAUCGCCAAAGCUGACUGUCUUGUCCCCAGUGAGAUCCGGAAGCUGAAGGAGCGGAUCCGGGAGGAGAUUGACAAGUUUGGGAUCCAUGUAUACCAGUUCCCUGACUGUGACUCGGACGAGGAUGAGGACUUCAAGCAGCAGGACCGGGAACUGAAGGAGAGCGCGCCCUUCGCCGUUAUAGGCAGCAACACGGUGGUGGAGGCCAAGGGGCAGCGGGUCCGGGGCCGACUGUACCCUUGGGGGAUCGUGGAGGGUGAGUAGAAUCUUGGGGUACCAGGUCUGGGGGGUGAAGGCUGUCCUGGGCCGGCGCCAGCCCACCACCCACCCCCACUCCGCAGUGGAGAACCAGGCGCACUGCGACUUCGUGAAGCUGCGCAACAUGCUCA
rnacentral:sRNA from 1 species